UACGUAGGGGGCAAGCGUUGUCCGGAUUUAUUGGGCGUAAAGAGCGCGUAGGCGGUCCGGUAAGUCCGCUCUGAAAGUCCGGGGCUCAACCCCGGGAGGCGGGCGGAUACUGUCGGGCUAGAGUCCGGAAGAGGCGAGUGGAAUUCCUGGUGUAGCGGUGAAAUGCGCAGAUAUCAGGAAGAACACCCGUGGCGAAGGCGGCUCUCUGGGACGGUACUGACGCUGAGACGCGAAAGCGUGGGGAGCGAACAGG
rnacentral:rRNA from 1 species